GAGACUCUGUGCGCGUGCAUAUCAAUAAGCGGAGGAAAAGAAACUAACAUAGGAUUCCCUCAGUAACGGCGAGUGAAGCGGGGAAGAGCUCAAAUUUGAAAUCUUCAAGGUUUUACCUUGACGAAUUGUAGUUUAUAGAAGUGUUUUCUGUUGGAAGUUUCGGUAAAAGUUCUUUGGAAUAGGACAUCAUAGAGGGUGAGAAUCCCGUAUUUGACCGUUACUUUCCAGCUGUGUGAUACACUUUCAAAGAGUCGGAUUGUUUGGGAAUGCAGUCCAAAAUGGGUGGUAAAUUUCAUCUAAAGCUAAAUAUUGGCGAGAGACCGAUAGCGAACAAGUACCGUGAGGGAAAGAUGAAAAGAACUUUGAAAAGAGAGUUAAACAGUACGUGAAAUUGUCAAAAGGGAAGCGUUUGACACCAGUGUUGUUUAGUUGAAAAUCAAUUAAAUAUUUUUCGAUUUUAAGUAGUAUUGACCUUAUCAGCUUGCUGCUUUUUUCUCGGAAAUUAUUUAAUGCACUUUUCAGUUAACAAGUCAACAUCAAUUUCUUUUGUUGUAAAAAGGUAAGAGGAAGGUGGCUUGCGCUUCGGCUCAAGUGUUUAUAGCCUUUUACCCCUGCAAUCGGAGAGAUUGAGGUCUGCAGCGUAGAUCCUUCGGGGUUAGAUACAUUUGUGCUAAGCUAUAGCCUUGUAUAGACAACUUGUUGACUAUGCUCAGCCAUGUAGCUUACUCGCUUAUGCUAUUUUACCUACGCUUAGGAUGUUGAACUCUAUCACACACAG
rnacentral:rRNA from 1 species